rnacentral:rRNA from 1 species
GAUGAACGCUGGCGGCGUGCUUAACACAUGCAAGUCGAACGGAAAGGCCGAAGCUUGCUUCGGUACUCGAGUGGCGAACGGGUGAGUAACACGUGGGUGAUCUGCCCUGUACUUCGGGAUAAGCUUGGGAAACUGGGUCUAAUACCGGAUAUGACGAUCUCUUGGAUGGGGUUGUGGAAAGCUUUUGCGGUAUGGGAUGAGCUCGCGGCCUAUCAGCUUGUUGGUGGGGUAAUGGCCUACCAAGGCGUCGACGGGUAGCCGGCCUGCGAGGGUGUACGGCCACAUUGGGACUGAGAUACGGCCCAGACUCCUACGGGAGGCAGCAGUGGGGAAUAUUGCACAAUGGGCGCACGCCUGAUGCAGCGACGCCGCGUGGGGGAUGACGGCCUUCGGGUUGUAAACUCCUUUCGCAAUCGACGAAGCCUUUUGGUGACGGUAGGUUGAGAAGAAGCACCGGCUAACUACGUG